CUUCUUUGCUGUUGGGCUGUAGCCAGAUUCAUGGUUCCCAAAGCAGGUGCCCCAGAGGGCAAAGACUAUUUCCAAUGGCAAGUGGACAUACAUGUUUCAUUUCAAGCAGUAGUGUAAUGGUAUAACAGAAGCGACAGAAAACUGAGCUAACACAAAGGGAAACAUUGCAUUAAUAAUAGCUGGGGUUGUACCCAGAUAUGUCAAAUACCAAGAAGGAGCCAGGGAAAGACUGAAGCUUGGGGGCCACUCCCUGCCCUCUUGCAUCUAUCCUCCAAUUCUGACUCAGCUUUGUCUCUUCCAGUAUCUGCCCUGACUCCCUCUCACUACAGCAGAGAGAUCUUCCAAGAAGGAAACCUUUGCUACAAGGCGGUACCCUCAGGAAGAAGUCUGGACUGCUCCUUGGCAAGGCCUUCGAGGCCUUCUAGGAUGGUCUCUGCCCGUCCUCAUGUUCUGCGUGUCAGACACAUGGAACCGUGCAGUGACGGAAACAUCAGUGUUCUCAGCCCCUGUCCUCAUGAAGUUUGCAGCCCAGCAGGGGACACAGGCCUCAAGAAAACAAAUACACAAAUACUUUUUUUGAUUUUAUAUUUUGCGACCAUUUUAGAAUUACAGAAGACUUGCAAAAUGAAGCAGAGUUCUCUAAUAUCCAUCACCUAGCUCAGCUUCCCCUGAUAUUGACAUCCCCCACAACUAUUAUUAUAGUUUUGAAGACCAAGAAGUUAAUAUUGGUUCAGUACCUAUUAAAAAGCAGAGAUAUUACUUUGCCGACAAAAGUCUGUCUAGUAAAAGCUAUGGUUUUUCCAGUAGUCAUGUAUAGAUGUGAGAGUUGGACUAUAAAGAAAGCUGAGCACCGACAAAUUGAUGCUUUUGAACUGUGGUGUUGGAGAAGACUCUUGAGAGUCCCUGGGGACUGCAAGGAGAUCCAAUCAGUCAAUCCGAAAGGAAAUCAGUUCUGAAUAUUCCUUGGAAGGGCUGAUGCUGAAGCUGAAGCUCCAAUCCUUUGACCACCUGAUGCAAAGAACUGACUCAUUUGAAAAGACCCUGAUGCUGAGCAAGAGUGAAGGCAAGAGGAGAAGGAUGAGAUGAUUGGAUGGCAUCACCGACUGAUGGACAUGAAUUUGAGCAACUAGGAGCUGGUGAUGGACAGGGAAGCCUGGUGUGCUUCAGUCCAUGGGAUUGCAAAGAGGUGGACACAACUGAGCGACUGAACUGAACUGAACUGAACUGCACUGUCUAGUACAUACUUUCUUAUUCUGUUUUUCUUCUGUUCCAGGAUUUAACCCAGUGUCUCAUGUUAUAUUUAGUUGUCAUUUUUCCUCAAUCACCUCCAAUCUGUGACAGUUUUUAGUCCUUCCUGAUCUUGAGACUUUUUAAGACUACUGGUUACUUUUUGAAGGUCUCCUAAUUUGGGUUUGUCUGAUACUUUCUCACUAUUAGAUUGAAUUUAUGUGAUCAUAAAGGAUGCCACAGGGGUGGCAUGUUCUUCUCUGUGCAUGGCAUCAGGAGGUGCAUGACCACAAUGUCUUAUUACUAAGGAUGUCAAUCUCUUUUUCAAUUAGAUACAUUAAAAGUCUGCC
ensembl:lincRNA